rnacentral:rRNA from 1 species
GACGAACGCUGGCGGCGUGCUUAACACAUGCAAGUCGAACGGAAAGGCCCUGCUUUUGUGGGGUGCUCGAGUGGCGAACGGGUGCGUAACACGUGAGUAACCUGCCCUUGACUUUGGGAUAACUUCAGGAAACUGGGGCUAAUACCGGAUAGGAGCUCCUGCUGCAUGGUGGGCGUUGGAUAGUCUCGGCGGUUGGGGAUGGACUCGCGGCUUAUCAGCUUGUUGGUGGGGUAGUGGCUUACCAAGGCUUUGACGGGUAGCCGGCCUGAGAGGGUGACCGGCGACAAUGGGACUGAGAUACGGCGCAGACUCCUACGGGAGGCAGCAGGGGGGAAUAUUGCACAACGGGCGGAAGUCGGAUGCAGCAACGUCGCGGGUGGAAUGACGUCCUGUGGGGUGUAAAACGCUGUCGCCUGAUACGAAGCGUGAGUGACGGUAAUGGAUAAAUAAGCACCGGCUAACUACGUG